rnacentral:sRNA from 3 species
AUAUCUCUCUGUACGGGAAGGAUGAGAAGCUUCGACCAAGGUUCGAUUCGAGCGCAGCGAGAAAGCGUUGCCGCAGGCAACGACCCGAAGGGC